rnacentral:rRNA from 1 species
UACAGAGGUCCCGAGCGUUGUUCGGAUUUAUUGGGCGUAAAGCGCGCGUAGGCGGACCUGUAAGUCAGAUGUGAAAUCUCGGGGCUCAACCCCGAAACUGCGUCUGAAACUGCAGGUCUAGAAUCUUGGAGGGGGAAGGGGAAUUUCGCAUGUAGGGGUAAAAUCCGUAGAUAUGCGAAGGAACACCAGAGGCGAAGGCGCCUUCCUGGACAAGUAUUGACGCUGAGGCGCGAAAGCGUGGGGAUCAAACAGG